rnacentral:rRNA from 1 species
AGUGAACGCUGGCGGUAGGCCUAACACAUGCAAGUCGAACGAGUGGCGGACGGGUGAGGAAUACAUCGGAAUCUCCUCUGUCGUGGGGGAUAACGUAGGGAAACUUACGCUAAUACCGCAUACGAUCUAAUGAGCCGAUGUCGGAUAAGCUAGUUGGCGGGGUAAAGGCCCACCAAGGCGACGAUCCGUAGCUGGUCUGAGAGGAUGAUCAGCGACACUGGAGCUGAGACAGGGUCCAGACUCCUACGGGAGGCAGCAGUGGGGAAUAUUGGACAAUGGGCGCAAGCCUGAUCCAGCCAUACCGCGUGGGUGAAGAAGGCCUUCGGGUUGUAAAGCACGUUUGUUGGGAAAGCGGUACACAAAGAAUAAGCACCGGCUAACUUCGUGCCAGCAGCCGCGGUAAUAC